rnacentral:rRNA from 1 species
UGGGGAAUAUUGCACAAUGGGCGCAAGCCUGAUGCAGCAACGCCGCGUGAACGAUGAAGGUCUUCGGAUCGUAAAGUUCUGUUGCAGGGGAAGAUAAUGACGGUACCCUGUGAGGAAGCCCCGGCUAACUACGUGCCAGCAGCCGCGGUAAUACGUAGGGGGCUAGCGUUAUCCGGAUUUACUGGGCGUAAAGGGUGCGUAGGUGGUCCUUCAAGUCGGUGGUUAAAGGCUACGGCUCAACCGUAGUAAGCCGCCGAAACUGGAGGACUUGAGUGCAGGAGAGGAGAGUGGAAUUCCCAGUGUAGCGGUGAAAUGCGUAGAUAUUGGGAGGAACACCAGUAGCGAAGGCGGCUUUCUGGACUGCAACUGACACUGAGGCACGAAAGCGUGGGUAGCAAACAGG